rnacentral:rRNA from 2 species
UUCCGGUUGAUCCCGCCGGACCUGACUGCUAUCGGAUUGAUACUAAGCCAUGCGAGUCAUUGUAGCAAUACAAGGCAGACGGCUCAGUAACGCGUAGUCAACCUAACCUAUGGACGGGAAUAACCUCGGGAAACUGAGAAUAAUGCCCGAUAGAACACUAUAUCUGGAAUGGUUUGUGUUCCAAAUGAUUUAUCGCCGUAGGAUGGGACUGCGGCCUAUCAGUUUGUUGGUGAGGUAAUGGCCCACCAAGACUAUUACAGGUACGGGCUCUGAGAGGAGUAGCCCGGAGAUGGGUACUGAGACACGGACCCAGGCCCUAUGGGGCGCAGCAGGCGAGAAAACUUUGCAAUGUGCGAAAGCACGACAAGGUUAAUCCGAGUGGUUUGUGCUAAACGAACCUUUUGUCGGUCCUAGAAACACCGAUGAAUAAGGGGUGGGCAAGUUCUGGUGUCAGCCGCCGCGGUAAAACCAGCACCUCAAGUGGUCAGGAUGAUUAUUGGGCCUAAAGCAUCCGUAGCCGGCGCUAUAAGUUUUCGGUUAAAUCUGUACGCUCAACGUACAGGCUGCCGGGAAUACUGUAGCGCUAGGGAGUGGGAGAGGUAGACGGUACUCGGUAGGAAGGGGUAAAAUCCUUUGAUCUAUUGAUGACCACCUGUGGCGAAGGCGGUCUACCAGAACACGUCCGACGGUGAGGGAUGAAAGCUGGGGGAGCAAACCGGAUUAGAUACCCGGGUAGUCCCAGCUGUAAACUAUGCAAACUCAGUGAUGCAUUGGCUUGUGGCCAAUGCAGUGCUGCAGGGAAGCCGUUAAGUUUGCCGCCUGGGAAGUACGUACGCAAGUAUGAAACUUAAAGGAAUUGGCGGGGGAGCACCACAAGGGGUGAAGCCUGCGGUUCAAUUGGAUUCAACGCCGGG